ACCAAAGGGCCCUUAUCUCAACCAUAUUUUUUUUCACUACUUUCUUGCCUUCUUCAUGCGUUUUGAGAUGAGAGAAAGAGAGUGGGAGAGCAAAGCACCAAACCCUUGCCAUAUCAUCCAUCGAUUUCUUCCUUCUUCCUUCUUAAUCAUCGAUCAAGCUGUUGUUCAUGUGAGCUAUCGUCGCCAACGAGUCUGCUGUCAUUUAGCUCUCUACUAUUUCUGUUCAUGGGAAGGAGAGCAUGCAAGAUUUCGAGUUGCUCGUUGAAGCAACUAUGAGGAGCAAGGAUGCAUUCUUCGGCCAGGGGAAGAAGGAGGAUGAUCCACACUGCUAUUAAAGUCAUACACACGGAAGAAGGGAGAAUUAAUGCCUUACCCUAACCAAAGCACAGUAGUAGCUGCAACACCAUAGCUCAC